UACGUAGGUGGCGAGCGUUGUCCGGAUUUACUGGGUGUAAAGGGCGCGUAGGCGGAUUUGCAAGUCAGAUGUGAAAUACCGGGGCUUAACCCCGGAACUGCAUUUGAAACUGUAGACCUUGAGUGCCGGAGAGGAAAGCGGAAUUCCUAGUGUAGCGGUGAAAUGCGUAGAUAUUAGGAGGAACACCAGUGGCGAAGGCGGCUUUCUGGACGGUAACUGACGCUGAGGCGCGAAAGUGUGGGUAGCAAACAGG
rnacentral:rRNA from 1 species